AAGGAGCAUCUAGGCCGCCAAACUUUGUUGGGGGUCCCAGGACCGUACCUUCGGGAAAGGCCGAAGGUGGGUGGUCAUGGGGGGAAACGUUAAUAAUCCGGCCUCUUGAUCGUCUUCUCCUUCCAGUACUGUCCCUUCGGGCGUGGAAAGUUGAGGGAAGCGGCGAAGGGGGUCGGGGACGCUGUUGGGUGUCUGAGGGGACGGCCCAUUGUUGGGCGCCCUCUCUGCCCGCCCCCGGGAAAAACUGCUUCUGCGGGUUGUGACAGGUGGGUGGGCGCUGUUUUAGAAAUGCGCACUGGACACGAGCAUCUGUG
rnacentral:misc_RNA from 1 species